CGAUAACGAACGAGACCUUAACCUGCUAAAUAGUUAUGCUAACUUUGGUUCGUGGUCAACUUCUUAGAGGGACUAUCAGUGUUUAACUGAUGGAAGUUUGAGGCAAUAACAGGUCUGUGAUGCCCUUAGAUGUUCUGGGCUGCACGCGCGCUACACUGAUGAAGUCAACGAGUUCACAUCCUUUAUCGGAAGAUAUGGGUAAUCUUUUGAAACUUCAUCGUGCUGGGGAUAGAGCAUUGCAAUUAUUGCUCUUAAACGAGGAAUCCCUAGUAAGCACAAGUCACCAGCUUGUGCUGAUUACGUCCCUGCCCUUUGUACACACCGCCCGUCGCUACUACCGAUUGAAUGG
rnacentral:rRNA from 1 species